rnacentral:rRNA from 1 species
AUGUCAGCCACACCGUCGGCGCCGGCGACUCAGCCAGGCCUCGGCGUGUCAAGCACAGCAUCAACAGCCCAUGGACAAGCUGCCAUUGCGAAUGUGAAAUCAAAAGACCCAGGAUGGAAAUAUUGCAUUUGCCCGGAUGAAAACAAGAAGAAUUCACUUAGGUGCAUCUAUUGUAAUAAUCUGUACACCAAUGGUAUUACUCGGAUCAAGUUCCACCUUGGAAACAUUCCGAAUUCCGGUGUUCUACCUUGCACAAAAGUGCCUGCUGAUGUAAGGGAUGAAAUUGUUGAGUAUUUGACAAGGAAGGGUGAGAAAAAGGCAAUAAAGGUUACAGAGCAGAAGAGAAGGAGAUGUGAAGUGGACUUGAGCCACUCAGAGGGGGAAGGUGCUAGUGACUCAGAUGGCACAAACAAUUCUGUUCUUGUGCUGAAGUCAGCGCGUGGCACAACGUCUAAAUCCUCAAGUGGCCCUAUGGAAAAGUUCUGCAAAUUGACACCCAAAGAGGCUAUUGCUGCAAGGAAGGAAAAAGUUGCUGAUAAUAUCCAAUUAAAGCUGACAACUGGGAGAAGAGAACAAAAAAGGAUUCGUGCUUGUGAGUACAUUUGCCAAUUCUUCUAUGAAGCAUGCAUUCCCUUCAAUGCAGUCACACUUCCAAGCUUUGACCUUAUGCUUGAGUCAAUUGGACAAUACGGCGAAGACCUAGAUGGUCCUAGUCCUUAUGAAAUGGGUGGGCCAUACUUGAAGAAGAGGAAGAAGAGAGUGAAGGAUUCCUUCAAGGCACACAAGGAACAUUGGGAGCUCACUGGAUGUACAAUCAUGACAGAUGCAUGGACAGACAUAAGAGGAAGAGGGGUAAUGAACUUGGUGGUUCAUAGUGCUUAUGGUGUAGUUUUUCUUGAUUCUGUGGAUUGUUCAGCUGCUAAAAAAAUGGUAAGUACAUCUUUGAUCUUGUAG